rnacentral:rRNA from 1 species
ACGGGAGGCAGCAGUGGGGAAUAUUGGGCAAUGGGCGAAAGCCUGACCCAGCGACGCCGCGUGAGGGAAGAAGGUCUUCGGGUUGUAAACUUCUUUUAUCAGGGACGAAGUAAGUGACGGUACCUGAUGAAUAAGCCACGGCUAACUACGUGCCAGCAGCCGCGGUAAUACGUAGGUGGCAAGCGUUAUCCGGAUUUACUGGGUGUAAAGGGCGCGUAGGCGGGGAUGCAAGUCAGAUGUGAAAUCCAUGGGCUUAACCCAUGAACUGCAUUUGAAACUGUAUCUCUUGAGUGUCGGAGAGGUAGACGGAAUUCCUAGUGUAGCGGUGAAAUGCGUAGAUAUUAGGAGGAACACCAGUGGCGAAGGCGGCCUACUGGACGAUAACUGACGCUGAGGCGCGAAAGCGUGGGGAGCAAACAGGAUUAGAUACCCUGGUA